rnacentral:rRNA from 1 species
GGGUCAGUAGGUUGGUCGUGUCACCGGUACGUACUGGUCUCACUGAUUCCUCCUUCCUGAAGAACCGUAAUGCCAUUAAUUUGGUGUUGCGGGGAAACAGGACUGUUACUUUGAAAAAAUUAGAGUGUUUAAAGCAAGCUAACGCUCGAAUACAUUAGCAUGGAAUAAUGAAAUAGGACGAUCGAUCCUAUUUUGUUGGUUUCUAGGAUUGACGUA